rnacentral:sRNA from 1 species
AUGCUAGAAUUUGAAUACAUCUGGCAAGACAACUUCAAGUACAGAUGGACCCAAAUUCCCUGGAGAUAAAAGUUCAACAACACAAAAUAAUAACCAGCAGAAAAAAGGGAUCCAGGUGUUACCUGAUGGUCGGGUUACUAACAUUCCUCAAGGGAUGGUGACGGACCAAUUUGGAAUGAUUGGCCUGUUAACAUUUAUCAGGGCAGCAGAGACAGACCCAGGAAUGGUACAUCUUGCAUUAGGAAGUGACUUAACAACAUUAGGCCUCAAUCUGAACUCUCCUGAAAAUCUCUACCCCAAAUUUGCGUCACCCUGGGCAUCUUCACCUUGUCGACCUCAAGACAUAGGUAGGAGAAUCUAUUUGUGUUUAGACCUUUUAAAAAGAAAUUUACAAUUGAGAAUCAGUUAAUAAGGCUUCUUUCAUUUUAUUAUCCAGACUUCCAUGUUCCAUCUGAGUACUUAACGAACAUUCACAUUAGGGAUAAGGUGAGUGUAGUUUAUUAUUCUACUCAGUCAGCAUGAAUUUAUCUAUUUUUCACAUGUUUUUCAGUU